rnacentral:misc_RNA from 1 species
GAUGAAGAACGUAGUGAAAUGCGAUAAGUAGUGUGAAUUGCAGAAUUCAGUGAAUCAUCGAAUCUUUGAACGCACAUUGCGCCUUCCGGUAUUCCGGAAGGCAUGCCUGUCCGAGCGUCAUCAAAAACCACUCAAGUAGUUUUGCUUGGUUAUGAAAGAAGAGUUUGCUUGCAAAUUCCCUUUCGAAAUUCAAUGGCGGAGGGUCUCAUGAUUCCGGCGUAGUAAUAACUUAUUCGCUUGGUCAUUGUGACAAUCCUGCCUCAAACCCCCAAUUCUAGUGUUUGACCUCGGAUCAGGUAGGGAUACCCGCUGAACUUAAGCAUAUCAAUAAGCGGAGGA